rnacentral:rRNA from 1 species
CUGCGAGUGAAGAGGGAAGAGCUCAUCAUUGGAAUCUGGCAGCGUUGCGCUGUCCGAGUUGUAGAUGAGAAGAGUAGGUCAUCUGGACUGCGUGGUGUCCAAGUACAAUAGGCCGUCAGUGGGACAUCAUAGAGGGUGACAAUCCCGUCCUUGACAACCAACGUACGAGUCCAUUACGAUGCCUAUCUCAGAGAGUCGAGCAGUUUGGGAUUUGCUGCUUAAACAUGGGAGGUAGAUUCCUUCUAAAGCUAAAUACAGGCAAGAGACCGAUAGAGAACAAGUACCGCAAGGGAAAGAUGAAAUAGAACUCUGUGAAGGGAGUCAAAAAGACGUGAAAUUGUUGCGAGAGAAGCGAUUCAAGUCAGCGUAGCUAGGCCCAUCAAGCUUCUUGCUUUGGACUAGCUUUGCCAGCGGUCUUGUCCUUUUAGAGACUUGACUUUUGACGUGCCCUGUCCGGUCUAACGGGCAGGCCCUUCGGGGCCAGUGGCAUGGCUGGUGGAAUGGCUUGCAAUCGACCCGUCUUGAAACACGGACCAAGGAGUCUAACAUGUGUGCGAGUAUAAGGGUGGCAAACCCGUAUGCGCAAAGAAAGUGAUAGCCUUUUAUGGCUGAGAAUGGCCUGAUGACCAGACAAGCAAUAUUAUGUUCCUCGUACGGUCAUUGCCCAAGUCCCGUGGUCAGAUCCCAUGGACAUGGAGUUAGAGCAUACAUGCUAGGACCCGAAAGAUGGUGAACUAUGCCUGGACAAAGCGAAGCCAAAGGAAACUCUGGUGGAGGCUUGUAGCGAUUCUGACGUGCAAAUCGAUCGUCUGAUCUGGGUAUAGGGGCGAAAGACUAAUCGAACCAUCUCAUA